CCUACGGGAGACAGCAGUGAGGAAUAUUGGUCAAUGGCCGGAAGGCUGAACCAGCCAUGCCGCGUGAAGGUCAGUGCCCUAUGGGCGUUAAACUUCUUUUGUGCGGGAGCAAUAAUGGUCACGUGUGGCCAGACGAGAGUACCGUACGAAUAAGCAUCGGCUAACUCCGUGCCAGCAGCCGCGGUAAUACGGGGGAUGCAAGCGUUAUCCGGAUUUAUUGGGUUUAAAGGGUGCGUAGGCUGUGAGGUAAGUCAGCGGUGAAAUGCCCCCGCUCAACGGGGUGAAGUGCCAUUGAUACUGCCUGGCUGGAAUGCGGAUGCAGUGGGAGGAAUGUGUGGUGUAGCGGUGAAAUGCAUAGAUAUCACACAGAACACCGAUUGCGAAGGCAUCUCACGAAUCCGCGAUUGACGCUGAUGCACGAAAGCGUGGGUAUCAAACAGGAUUAGAUACCCGUGUAGUC
rnacentral:rRNA from 1 species